rnacentral:rRNA from 1 species
GUCCACGCCUUAAACUAUGAAUACUAAGUGUCGGCGGUUUACCGCCGGUGCCGCAGCUAACGCAUUAAGUAUUCCGCCUGGGAAGUACGGCCGCAAUGUUGAAACUCAAAGGAAUUGACGGGGGCCCGCACAAGCGGUGGAGCAUGUGGUUUAAUUCGACGCAACGCGAAUAACCUUACCCAGGCUGGACAUGCAGGUAGUAGAAGGGUGAAAGCCCAACGAGGUAGCAAUACCAUCCUGCUCAGGUGCUGCAUGGCUGUCGU